rnacentral:rRNA from 1 species
UACGUAGGGUGCGAGCGUUAAUCGGAAUCACUGGGCGUAAAGCGUACGCAGGCGGCUUUGCAAGACAGGUGUGAAAUCCCCGGGCCUAACCUGGGAACUGCAUUUGUGACUGCAUGGCUAGAGUUUGUCAGAGGGGGGUGGAAUUCCACGUGUAGCAGUGAAAUGCGUAGAUAUGUGGAGGAACACCGAUGGCGAAGGCAGCCCCCUGGGAUGUGACUGACGCUCAUGUACGAAAGCGUGGGGAGCAAACAGG